rnacentral:lncRNA from 1 species
CAAGAAGCAGAGACAUGGGCAAAUCACUUGUUUGUGAUGAUAAGCCUCAUGGUGAAUUAAAGAAUAAUGAUCAAAAUAUGUGAACGAAUUGGUUGAAAGAGACAGUACCCUCACUCAGUAUCUCUUCCUUUUUCUUAGAAAUGGUUGAGAAAAAGGCAAAGGGAGCCCACCUGGGGAUAAACAACUGAAGAUAACUGACAUAGCUUUUGGAAUGCAACAUAGCAAGAUAGCAAUGUAUGGAAGGCAUUUCCUAGGGUAUGAAAAGGAUGCAGAUGAGAAUAGAAGACAUGGGCUCACAAUACAUUUUAAGAGGAAGUCAUCAGCAUUUUAAUCCUCUACAAGAACCAUAGACACCCACGCAGCUGUUGUCAGAAGAAAAGGUAAGAAAAACAAUUUUUUUUCCAACAGCAGAAAAGAAUUUGAAUUACUACUUCUUUUAGUCACUUAUUUUUCUCACUCAUGUGCAGUAUUUUCUUUAACUUGGGUACCGCGUUUUGGUUACUAAUAACUGCUGAUCUGUCCUGAAUGAAUGGAUUAGUUUAUAGGAAAGAUUUGCAUGAUAGAGAAUCAGUAGGGCAAGUUUAAAUCCCUUGCUGGUGUGGAGAGAGGAAACAAAUUAAUCUGGUGAUUGUUGAUAAAUUGUGAGCAGAGAAGUGAAAAAAUAUAUUUUUUUGGGGGAAAAAUGAUCGUCUGUAAUGUCAAAAGUGAAAAAUACCAGGAAAAUUCAAGUAAGGGAUCCUAAGCCUCUGCUUUAUCCCACACUCAUAAAAACUGAUUUGAGCUGAUGUUGGAUUCUAUCCAUUAAUAGAGAAAAAAUGACUUUCACAAUUAACUCCUUAUAUGAAUAAGGAGUUUUGCCCAAUAUGAAGUGGUAUACCUGGAUGUUAUAUGUGUGAGGCUACUUUAAGAGAGUCUUAACCCAUAAAUAAGGGAAAGAAGGGAGGAAAGGACAAAGACACCUUUUUCGACUGAUGUUUUUAUUGCUGCAGAUACCUAUUCUUUCCUUUCUUUCUUUCUUUCUUUCUUUCUUUCUUUCUUUCUUUCUUUCUUUCUUUUGACCUAUUCUCUUUUGAUCUUGGAACAUGAAGUGUGGUUUGUGGGAUUGAGCUGGGUUUGUUAGGGUCAUAUGUUAAAACUUAGGUAGCACUUGCUCCAGUUAUCAUUGCCUUGUUAUGGCAUAUUUUAUCAUUAGGAUUUGCAGGAUAAGCCUUAUAAAAAUUACACAUUUUAUCACCCCACAUAAAAGUGAC